GACGAACGCUGGCGGCGUGCUUAACACAUGCAAGUCGAACGCUGAAGCUCAGCUUUUGUUGGGUGGAUGAGUGGCGAACGGGUGAGUAACACGUGAGUAACCUGCCCCCUUCUUUGGGAUAACGCCCGGAAACGGGUGCUAAUACUGGAUAUUCACUGGUCUUCGCAUGGGGGUUGGUGGAAAGGGUUUUUCUGGUGGGGGAUGGGCUCGCGGCCUAUCAGCUUGUUGGUGGGGUGAUGGCCUACCAAGGCUUUGACGGGUAGCCGGCCUGAGAGGGUGACCGGUAACAUUGGGACUGAGAUACGGCCCAGACUACUACGGGAGGCAGAAGUGGGGAAUAUUGCAGAAUGGGCGCAAGCCUGAUGCAGCGACGCCGCGGGAGGGAUGGAGGCCUUCGGGUUGUGAACCUCUUUCACACAUGGUCAAGCCGCAACAAUGGUUGUGGUGAGGGUAGUGGGUAAAGAAGCGCCGGCUAACUACGUG
rnacentral:rRNA from 1 species